UGAGAGAUAGCUCAGUUGGUAGAACACAAGAAUCUUAAUCUCAGGAUCAUGGGUUUGAGCCCCACAUGGGGCAAAA